AAAAAGAUAAACCCUAGAUUUUCGUGUCCAAUAUUUGACCGUCUGUCUUAUUUGAAAAAAUCAAAAAGAUAAGUCACGUAUAAAGUAUUAAUCAUGUUUUAUCAUCUAACAACAAUGAAAAUACUAAUUAUAAAAAAAUUUCAUAUAAGACGGACAAUC
rnacentral:pre_miRNA from 1 species